rnacentral:lncRNA from 1 species
UCUCUGCGGCCAUCAUGGGAUCGUGCUCUUCUCGCUCGUUGAGCUGGUCCCUUCGCCGUGGCCUGCUGGUGACGGUCUGGAGCGAUGCUGAGCCCGGGCCCAGCCUCUCAGCUCCGCCUUGUGCGCUGCACAGAUCUAGGGGAGCCUGGUUGGGGAUUUAAGAGUGGAAGAUUGCCAACAGCUGUGGCCUCCCAUGAGGGUGUCCCCUUUCAAGUUCUCAGAACGGACGCAGGACUGCAGAUCUGUGCUGGCAGCAGCAGAGGCUAUAUUCCCAGAGGAGUCUCCAGCCGGCCUGAAAGCAAAUAUCCUAAGUGACAUGUCUGCCAAUUUUGUUCUGGGUGGGCACAUUUGGUAAUCCUGUCUGUACCACAGGAUCUUCUAUGCCUUUUAAAAAUAAACAUUUGUUUAUAAACCA